rnacentral:lncRNA from 12 species
CACUUUGCUAGCAUCUCCUAUCUCAAGCUGUAGAAACAAUAUGUAGGUGCUUUCAAGUUUAAAAUAAGUGAACAUCUCUUGGCAUGGCUGUGAGUUAAAAAAUACCAUCUUUGUGCUUCCAGAUGAGGAGCCCAAGGCUGAAGAGCUGGAGGUGUUUUCUAUGUGCAGGGUUUGGAGCAGGAAGUUGCCCUAGCUCUGCAGUUCCCUUGGCUGGCUUAGGAGUUUGUCAGAGGCAGCUGCACACCAAAC